rnacentral:rRNA from 2 species
GAUACCCUGGUAGUCCACGCUGUAACGAUGAUGUAAGUGUUAGAGGUUUCCGCCCUUUAGUGCUGAAGUUAACGCAUUAAGCACUCCGCUGGGGAGUACGGUCGCAAGACUGAAACUCAAAGGAAUUGACGGGGGCCCGCACAAGUGGUGGAGCAUGUGGUUUAAUUCGAAGCAACGCGAAGAACCUUACCAGGUCUUGACAUCCUCUGACAACCCUAGAGAUAGGGCUUUCCCUUCGGGGACAGAGUGACAGGUGGUGCAUGGUUGUCGUCAGCUCGUGUCGUGAGAUGUUGGGUUAAGUCCCGCAACGAGCGCAACCCUUGAUCUUAGUUGCCAGCAUUCAGUUGGGCACUCUAAGGUGACUGCCGGUGACAAACCGGAGGAAGGUGGGGAUGACGUCAAAUCAUCAUGCCCCUUAUGACCUGGGCUACACACGUGCUACAAUGGAUAGUACAAAGGGUUGCAAGACCGCGAGGUGGAGCUAAUCCCAUAAAACUAUUCUCAGUUCGGAUUGUAGGCUGCAACUCGCCUACAUGAAGCCGGAAUCACUAGUAAUCGCGGAUCAGCAUGCCGCGGUGAAUACGUUCCCGGGCCUUGUACACACCGCCCGUCACACCACGAGAGUUUGUAACACCCGAAGUCGGUGGGGUAACCUUUUAGGGGCCAGCCGCCUA